UGACUAUUCGACCUAUCCGAUCAUCGGGUACCAUUGCUAGAUGGUCACUUCGAUUAGUACAGGAAUUGGUUCCUGUGCUACCGUCUUAGGUUCGAACCUGUGGGGUCACACACAUUAGAGGUUCCUUUCUGAUCUGAUGGCUGAUUAUGAGUCUUAUGUAUUUGGGACUCUAUGAUUGAGAAUUAGGAUUCUCUGAUCAUAAGUUUCACACAUUUUGGGUACCGGGGUCAAAAUUUUGAAUUUCAAAUUUUGAAUUUGAAAUUUGAACUCUUUGAUCAGGGUUUCAUAUCGAUGGUCUCUGAUGCCUAAUUACCUAUCGGAUUUGGACUCAAUAAUUAUGAAAGGUUUUAUUAGUAAUUU
rnacentral:lncRNA from 1 species